UGCAAGUCGAACGAUGAACCUCCUUCGGGAGGGGAUUAGUGGCGAACGGGUGAGUAACACGUGGGCAAUCUGCCCUGCACUCUGGGACAAGCCCUGGAAACGGGGUCUAAUACCGGAUACUGACCCGCUUGGGCAUCCAAGCGGUUCGAAAGCUCCGGCGGUGCAGGAUGAGCCCGCGGCCUAUCAGCUUGUUGGUGAGGUAAUGGCUCACCAAGGCGACGACGGGUAGCCGGCCUGAGAGGGCGACCGGCCACACUGGGACUGAGACACGGCCCAGACUCCUACGGGAGGCAGCAGUGGGGAAUAUUGCACAAUGGGCGAAAGCCUGAUGCAGCGACGCCGCGUGAGGGAUGACGGCCUUCGGGUUGUAAACCUCUUUCAGCAGGGAAGAAGCGAAAGUGACGGUACCUGCAGAAGAAGCGCCGGCUAACUACGUGCCAGCAGCCGCGGUAAUACGUAGGGCGCGAGCGUUGUCCGGAAUUAUUGGGCGUAAAGAGCUCGUAGGCGGCUUGUCACGUCGGUUGUGAAAGCCCGGGGCUUAACCCCGGGUCUGCAGUCGAUACGGGCAGGCUAGAGUUCGGUAGGGGAGAUCGGAAUUCCUGGUGUAGCGGUGAAAUGCGCAGAUAUCAGGAGGAACACCGGUGGCGAAGGCGGAUCUCUGGGCCGAUACUGACGCUGAGGAGCGAAAGCGUGGGGAGCGAACAGGAUUAGAUACCCUGGUAGUCCACGCCGUAAACGGUGGGCACUAGGUGUGGGCGACAUUCCACGUCGUCCGUGCCGCAGCUAACGCAUUAACUGCCCCGCCUGGGGAGUACGGCCGCAGGC
rnacentral:rRNA from 1 species